AAAUUGAAGAGUUUGAUCAUGGCUCAGAUUGAACGCUGGCGGCAGGCCUAACACAUGCAAGUCGAACGGUAACAGGAAGCAGCUUGCUGCUUUGCUGACGAGUGGCGGACGGGUGAGUAAUGUCUGGGAAACUGCCUGAUGGAGGGGGAUAACUACUGGAAACGGUAGCUAAUACCGCAUAAUGUCGCAAGACCAAAGAGGGGGACCUUCGGGCCUCUUGCCAUCGGAUGUGCCCAGAUGGGAUUAGCUAGUA
rnacentral:rRNA from 1 species